GCAAUGAUGACAUUCUGUGACGUUGAUCUCUUUGAGCUGAUAAUGUCCACAAUUGUCCUCUAAGAAGUUCUGAGCUU